rnacentral:rRNA from 1 species
AUGGCUAGGGGGUCAUUGCGACUUACCAAACCAUUGCAAACUCCGAAUACCGAUGAGUGCGAGCUUGGGAGACAGACGUCGGGUGCUAACGUCCGGCGUCAAGAGGGAAACAACCCAGACCGCCAGCUAAGGUCCCAAAGAUUGGCUAAGUGGAAAACGAAGUGGGAAGGCUAAAACAGUCAGGAUGUUGGCUUAGAAGCAGCCAUCAUUUAAAGAAAGCGUAAUAGCUCACUGAUCGAGUCGUCCUGCGCGGAAGAUGUAACGGGG